UGGGGAAUUUUCCGCAAUGGGCGAGAGCCUGACGGAGCAACGCCGCGUGAGGGAGGAAGGCCUGUGGGUCGUAAACCUCUUUUCUCAGGGAAGAAGAUCUGACGGUACCUGAGGAAUCAGCAUCGGCUAACUCCGUGCCAGCAGCCGCGGUAAGACGGAGGAUGCAAGCGUUAUCCGGAAUUAUUGGGCGUAAAGCGUCCGUAGGUGGUUUUACAAGUCAGUUGUUAAAGCCCACAGCUCAACUGUGGAUUGGCGAAUGAAACUGUAAGACUUGAGUGUGGUAGGGGUAGAGGGAAUUCCUAGUGUAGCGGUGAAAUGCGUAGAUAUUAGGAAGAACACCAGUGGCGAAGGCGCUCUACUGGGCCAUAACUGACACUGAUGGACGAAAGCGAGGGGAGCGAAAGGGAUUAGAUACCCCCGUAGUCC
rnacentral:rRNA from 1 species